rnacentral:lncRNA from 1 species
CCUUAUUGGUCUUGAAUGUAGACGGAUUGUUUUACACAUCCUAAAGAUCCCAAUCCUUAUUGCAUGGAGAUAAAAUAGGAGAAUAUGCACUGUGGGCAUUAAAAGGAACAUUUCCAUACGAAGGAACUUCAUUAUUACAUAGCCAAAUCAAAUGAAAAUCAUUAUACAUAAGUGAAGUCGACAAGAGAAACUGAGUCGCCGGAAGAAGCAUGUCAUCAUAAUACAAAAGAUAUUACUUUAAUAAAGAAACAAAAAAUGGUAUGCAACCACAAAAAUUUAAAUAAACAAAACAUUUUUAGACACCAUAACAACAGCGACACCUAUAGACGGAAGGGUGCACACUCACGGUGUCCCAGCUUUCUCGUUGAGGGCAUUGGCACGUUCUAAGUACGUUUGAGCUUCAUUCUUGAGGAGGACAGCCUUUUUGGGCGGGGCAGCAGCGGCCUCCUUCAGUUUAUCGGCAGCCCACUUAACAUAUCCUAUGGCUCCGGAUUGAUAGUUGCAAAAAUGAAUGCACUUUGGGCUGCAAACCUCUAGUUCUCCCUUGCAGCGCUUGAUACAUUUGUCCCAACAGAACUCUUCGGCAGUUGCCACUGGUGUUGAUACCGCCGCUACCAUCACGUCCAGGAGGAGAACGACACCAAUUGUGUUCCCAGUAUUCACCGCCAUUCUGGACCUUGAGAUUACUUCCUCGGGGUAUGACUGGUUUAGAAGGAGGUUGUUGAUGAGGAGAUGAUCGUUUAU